rnacentral:rRNA from 1 species
CGUCUUUGACCUCGGAUCAG